rnacentral:tRNA from 1 species
GGGGAUAUAGCUCAGUGGUAGAGUGCUUUCCUCACAUGCCCAAGGCCCUGGGUUCAUUCCCUGGUACCCCCC